CAAAACAUGACAGAACUGCAGCAAGUUACCUACCAAAUCUAUCUGUGUUCUCUCACAUAACUUCAGGGAUCGAAGGGAUCAUGGCGGAUUAUGUUCACCAAAAAAUGACCAAAGAAUUUUUCUCUUUAUGUUUCAGCUUGUUCUUUUUGAUCAUCAUGAAAGAUCUUUUCUUGUUUCUCGUUUUUCCUUAGAUUUAGUAAUGCUAGCAGUUCUGAAAAUGCUAGCAGGGAAGGUUUUCAGCAAUAGGAGCAAUAAUGGUGCUGCACGGUGUUGGCAGUAGAACAUCAAUGUAGGGAAGUAGCAGUAAUAGCUACGUUUUUCUGCA
rnacentral:lncRNA from 1 species